rnacentral:rRNA from 1 species
UAACGAGCUGCUAAUACCGCAUAAGAUCCCUGGACCGCAUGAUCCGGGGAUGAAAGAUGGCCUCUACAUGUAAGCUGUCGUUGAAGGAUGAUCCCGCGUCCCAUUAGCUAGUUGGUGGGGUAAAAGCCUACCAAGGCGACGAUGGGUAGCCGGCCUGAGAGGGUGUCCGGCCACACUGGGACUGAGAUACGGCCCAGACUCCUACGGGAGGCAGCAGUCGAGAAGCUUCCGCAAUGGGGGAAACCCUGACGGAGCGACGCCGCGUGAGUGAAGAAGGCCCUAUGGGUUGUAAAGCUCUGUCAGGUUGGGAAGAAAACUCUACGGGUAAUAUCCGUAGAGCUUGACGGUACCAUCAGAGGAAGCACCGGCUAACUCCGUGCCAGCAGCCGCGGUAAUACGGAGGGUGCAAGCGUUGUUCGGAUUCACUGGGUAUAAAGGGUGCGCAGGCGGCCCAAUAAGCCAGAGGUGAAAUAUGACGGCUCAACCGUCAAACGGCCCCUGAAACUGUUGGGCUUGAGUUCGAGAGAGGUAGGUGGAAUUCCAGGUGUAGCGGUGAAAUGCGUAAAUAUCUGGAGGAACACCCGUGGCGAAGGCGGCUUUC